rnacentral:rRNA from 2 species
UUAAGUUAUUAAGGGCGCACGGUGGAUGCCUUGGCACUAGAAGCCGAUGAAGGACGUUACUAACGACGAUAUGCUUUGGGGAGCUGUAAGUAAGCUUUGAUCCAGAGAUUUCCGAAUGGGGAAACCCAGCAUGAGUUAUGUCAUGUUAUCGAUAUGUGAAUACAUAGCAUAUCAGAAGGCACACCCGGAGAACUGAAACAUCUUAGUACCCGGAGGAAGAGAAAGAAAAUUCGAUUCCCUUAGUAGCGGCGAGCGAAACGGGAAGAGCCCAAACCAACAAGCUUGCUUGUUGGGGUUGUAGGACACUCUAUACGGAGUUACAAAGGACGACAUUAGACGAAUCAUCUGGAAAGAUGAAUCAAAGAAGGUAAUAAUCCUGUAGUCGAAAAUGUUGUCUCUCUUGAGUGGAUCCUGAGUACGACGGAGCACGUGAAAUUCCGUCGGAAUCUGGGAGGACCAUCUCCUAAGGCUAAAUACUCUCUAGUGACCGAUAGUGAACCAGUACCGUGAGGGAAAGGUGAAAAGCACCCCGGAAGGGGAGUGAAACAGAACCUGAAACCGUGUGCUUACAAGUAGUCAGAGCCCGUUAAUGGGUGAUGGCGUGCCUUUUGUAGAAUGAACCGGCGAGUUACGAUUUGAUGCAAGGUUAAGCAGUAAAUGUGGAGCCGUAGCGAAAGCGAGUCUGAAUAGGGCGUUUAGUAUUUGGUCGUAGACCCGAAACCAGGUGAUCUACCCUUGGUCAGGUUGAAGUUCAGGUAACACUGAAUGGAGGACCGAACCGACUUACGUUGAAAAGUGAGCGGAUGAACUGAGGGUAGCGGAGAAAUUCCAAUCGAACCUGGAGAUAGCUGGUUCUCUCCGAAAUAGCUUUAGGGCUAGCCUCAAGUGAUGAUUAUUGGAGGUAGAGCACUGUUUGGACGAGGGGCCCCUCUCGGGUUACCGAAUUCAGACAAACUCCGAAUGCCAAUUAAUUUAACUUGGGAGUCAGAACAUGGGUGAUAAGGUCCGUGUUCGAAAGGGAAACAGCCCAGACCACCAGCUAAGGUCCCAAAAUAUAUGUUAAGUGGAAAAGGAUGUGGCGUUGCCCAGACAACUAGGAUGUUGGCUUAGAAGCAGCCAUCAUUUAAAGAGUGCGUAAUAGCUCACUAGUCGAGUGACACUGCGCCGAAAAUGUACCGGGGCUAAACAUAUUACCGAAGCUGUGGAUUGUCCUUUGGACAAUGGUAGGAGAGCGUUCUAAGGGCGUUGAAGCAUGAUCGUAAGGACAUGUGGAGCGCUUAGAAGUGAGAAUGCCGGUGUGAGUAGCGAAAGACGGGUGAGAAUCCCGUCCACCGAUUGACUAAGGUUUCCAGAGGAAGGCUCGUCCGCUCUGGGUUAGUCGGGUCCUAAGCUGAGGCCGACAGGCGUAGGCGAUGGAUAACAGGUUGAUAUUCCUGUACCACCUAUAAUCGUUUUAAUCGAUGGGGGGACGCAGUAGGAUAGGCGAAGCGUGCGAUUGGAUUGCACGUCUAAGCAGUAAGGCUGAGUAUUAGGCAAAUCCGGUACUCAUUAAGGCUGAGCUGUGAUGGGGAGAAGACAUUGUGUCUUCGAGUCGUUGAUUUCACACUGCCGAGAAAAGCCUCUAGAUAGAAAAUAGGUGCCCGUACCGCAAACCGACACAGGUAGUCAAGAUGAGAAUUCUAAGGUGAGCGAGCGAACUCUCGUUAAGGAACUCGGCAAAAUGACCCCGUAACUUCGGGAGAAGGGGUGCUCUUUAGGGUUAACGCCCAGAAGAGCCGCAGUGAAUAGGCCCAAGCGACUGUUUAUCAAAAACACAGGUCUCUGCUAAACCGUAAGGUGAUGUAUAGGGGCUGACGCCUGCCCGGUGCUGGAAGGUUAAGAGGAGUGGUUAGCUUCUGCGAAGCUACGAAUCGAAGCCCCAGUAAACGGCGGCCGUAACUAUAACGGUCCUAAGGUAGCGAAAUUCCUUGUCGGGUAAGUUCCGACCCGCACGAAAGGCGUAACGAUUUGGGCACUGUCUCAACGAGAGACUCGGUGAAAUCAUAGUACCUGUGAAGAUGCAGGUUACCCGCGACAGGACGGAAAGACCCCGUGGAGCUUUACUGUAGCCUGAUAUUGAAAUUCGGCACAGCUUGU